GAUGAACGCUGGCGGUCUGCUUAACACAUGCAAGUCGAACGGAAGUAGCAAUACUUUAGUGGCGGACGGGUGAGUAACACGUAAGAAUCUGCCUCCAGGACGGGAAAAACAGUUGGAAACGACUGCUAAUUCCGGAUGAGCCGAAAGGUAAAAAGAAAUUCGCCUGGAGAUGAGCUUGCGGCUGAUUAGCUAGUUGGUAGGGUAAGAGCCUACCAAGGCGACGAUCAGUAGCUGGUCUGAGAGGAUGAGCAGCCACACUGGGACUGAGACACGGCCCAGACUCCUACGGGAGGCAGCAGUGGGGAAUUUUCCGCAAUGGGCGAAAGCCUGACGGAGCAAGACCGCGUGGGGGAGGAAGGUUCUUGGAUUGUCAACCCCUUUUCUCAGGGAAGAAGAUCUGACGGUACCUGAGGAAUCAGCAUCGGCUAACUCCGUGCCAGCCGCCGCAGUAAGAC
rnacentral:rRNA from 1 species